rnacentral:lncRNA from 1 species
UGGAUAUCUUGCUGUUUAGGAGUUUUUAUUGCCUUUGGACCCUAGGCUUAGCCUAGUGGUCUAGUUGCUAAUGUUUGCUUGAUUUUUCAGGAUCAAAGGCAUAAUGCACAUGGAGAAUGAUCCAAAUCAAUUUUAAUUGAUGUUGUUGAUGUUUGUACACUAACAUAACAUUGUUUUGUAGGUUUUGAAGCUUGGGCUUAAGCUUUGAGCUUGCUUUGUUGUG